UGAUCGGUGAAUUCGGGUCGAUUUUUUUCUAUUUUGAUUGACGGUGCGGGAAACACAAAAAGGACGUGAGUUUCCUGUUUGUUGUCGAGAAAGAAUUCAGUCGCUGGAGCCUAAACGGAGACAAACGAGACCAGAGAGAGUUUGAGUUCAAAUCAGAGACUUGAUCUAAUCCUUCAGUGCAAAAUAAAGUUAUUUACAAUGUCGUGA